ACUCUGGGGGCAAAAAGAAAAGACAAAUGUCAAUCAAAACACAUUCCAAUGAUCCAACGUGAGGUUUUGUCUUGACAAGCUAGGCAUACACAAAGAAAAAUGCAAAGAUUAGACAGCAAGACUAAAUGGUCUAGCCAUAGCAGUCACCGGAGCCACCAGUCAGAUGGGAUAGGCUCCACUCAUCCACAAAGCCUAAGGAGGGCAAGCACUACAGAAAAUGGAUGGCCGACAUUUACACAAAAAGUGCUUGUGAUGAUCACGUGUGAUAUAAAAAGGCCACAAGUGAGAGAAAGCGCCUCGGAUUGAAGCCUGAUAGAAAAUUGACUGAAACCUUGGCUUGAUUAAUGAGCUCCGGAACAGAUGGUUUAUCACAGAUCUGGCAAAAGCAAUACGCCCGUGUCCCAUAACAGGUAAAUUAAUUACACAAAUUAAUGAAGUUCAACGCGGGCUCAACAGUGUGUUUCAAUGGGGAAAAAAAUGAGCGGGGAAUGCGGGAAGGCCACCCACGACAUUGCAAGCGCGAGCAUUCGUCAUAAGAGCACAAAUCCUUGCGUGCCGGCCGUGUGAUGAACGACUUCACCCGAGUCGACUCAUUGAGAAGGCUCUCAAUGGAAGUAGCUCAAAUUGCUUUGUGCAUUUCCGCCAUAUUGUACUAGUCUGCUCAUUUGUCCAAGGGACUAGUAGCACUCACAAAACAGCGCACUGGGAGGGACUGGUGUCAGUUUCCUACAAGAAAACAGCUCUCACUAUUAUGUUGGUUAAAUUGAGGGCACUUUGCUGAGUGUAUUUCUUUUUCCCCCCUUGCCCAAGUCAUACUUGAUUUCCUUUUACGGUAAAAAAACAAGGUCAAAGUCAUCCACAAACAUUGAAUCAAGGCAGCUAGACUAGUUUGUUGGAUUUGUUGUGUUUUUUCUUGUUUUGGGCAAUUAUUAUCAGCGUAACAAAUGAUUUGCUGUAAUUAGAUACAUUUUAUAGACUGUCAACAGUUGGCGAUAAGCGAGUUUGCCGAGCAGUGUGAGAAAUAGAUACGCACUGCGGUUUUCAAUGAUUGUUCUUUUAUACUAAGACAUUUUCCAAACCAAUGUGACUCUGGGGGUGGCGUUAUAAGUUGUGAAGUAUACAAAACACGCCUUGUGGGACUUCCAGUGUAAUCAUAAACUAGACGUCAACACUUCCUGUUUAGCUCAAAGUCCAGACUGAGACCAACCAGCGGACAGGUAGCCUGAGGAAAAAAAAGAAAGCAAAUAUCCACGCAUUUGAGGAUGACAUCACAGGAGUUUUGUGCAGGUGCAUAAACAAAAUGGAGGUAGGUCACUGAACCCUCAUCCUCCCCCUGCCGAAAACCUAAAAGGCAAACGUCUCGCGGGGCCUGCUGCUAUGGCCACCCUGCUCUGAGCAACCAAGCACAGUCUUCCCCCCCCACCUCGAUCGACACGGGCGAAACGGAUGGCGAACUGAAGCCUGCAGAGCAAAGGAGGGGGAAGGGGGGGUCGUCCAAAUGGCACAGCGCAACCUGAAGGCUGGCUAAACGCAUUCCCCGCCUUCCAAAGUCAUUCAUCUGUGGACAUUCAAGCGAAGCAGGAAGAACAGUGAGCCGCAAUCAGCCCGAACACUCCCCAGGGGAGUUUGGGAAGGGAAUGCUCAGCUCCCGACUAUGAAAUGCUGCCAAGCCUCGGCCGGCUACUAAUGGCAACAUCACAAUGCAGACCUCUCUCUCUGUACGACACAUCACAAGAUCUGUGCAGCACUGUGACAAAAAAAAAAAAAGAAAGGUAGAAAAAAAGGGCGGGGGGGAAAAAAAUGAGGGUCGACAUUCUGCAUUUGAACGCCCGCUGA